GUAACGGGGUGUUAGGGCACGACACCGGAGAGGGAGCCUGAGAAACGGCUACCACAUCCAAGGAAGGCAGCAGGCGCGCAAAUUACCCAAUCCCGACAUGGGGAGGUAGUGACAAUAAAUAACAAUACAGGGUUCUUUUGGAUCUUGUAAUUGGAAUGAGUACAAUUUAAAUCUCUUAACGAGGAACAAUUGGAGGGCAAGUCUGGUGCCAGCAGCCGCGGUAAUUCCAGCUCCAAUAGCGUAUAUUAAAGUUGUUGCAGUUAAAAAGCUCGUAGUUGAAUUUCGGGAUCAAGGGAUUGGUCAUGCCUCGGUAUGCACUGGUCUUAUUGGUUCUCACCUUCUAAAGAACCAUGAUGUCAUUCAUUUGAUGUUAUGGGGAAUUAGGACUGUUACCUUGAAAAAAUUAGAGUGUUUAAAGCAAGCUUACGCUUGAAUACAUUAGCAUGGAAUAAUGAAAUAGGACAUCAGAUUCUAUUUUGUUGGUUUCUAGGAUCGAUGUAAUGAUUAAUAGGGAUAGUUGGGGGCAUUAGUAUUCAAUUGUCAGAGGUGAAAUUCUUGGAUUUAUUGAAGACUAACUACUGCGAAAGCAUUUGCCAAGGAUGUUUUCAUUAAUCAAGAACGAAAGUUAGGGGAUCGAAGACGAUCAGAUACC
rnacentral:rRNA from 1 species